UCGUGCUACAUGGGGAGCUAGCGGUGCCCUGUACCUGCAAUCCGCUAUAGCAGGGUGGAAUACCCUACCUAGGUUUUAGAUCGAAACCGCUAUCUUAUUUGCAUACUAAGAUGGUUGGGUCCUGGGCGGCACUGAGCUGCGAACCCCGUCAGGUCCGGAAGGAAGCAGCGGUAAGCAGAUAUUGGUGGGUGCUCCAGGGAAGCCUGGCUUGAAUUGCCUGUAUGAUAUGUUUAGUCCCUAGGAUCGAAGUGGGGUUGCACGG
rnacentral:SRP_RNA from 2 species